CACCGAGUGAGGGAACGUGGGCUCCCCAAGAUGGCUGCCGCGCCUGGGUAGCUUGCCUCACCCGCCACCAACCCCACAACACGGGAGCGCGCGCUCUAGGUAUAUAACUCUGUGCCUACACCCUUUGUAUGUUGGUAAAUGUGAUAAAUGAGACAACCUACACCCCUUGUAUGACAAGCAAUCGACAAUAGACAUGGUACUGUGCCGAAGUUCAUCCAACCCUGUGUGUAUGUAAACAAAGCGGACGGACUAAAUCAAGGGGACGAGACUCGAUACCACACUGGCACACUAACCACUCAGCCACCUCCUCCCCAUGUUUUAUUGCCAAUCAGCUACAAAUUGGCUAAAUAUUGUGGGCUUCCAGCUGCCUUUUCCAGCUAUAGGCUAAAAAGCAAUAUUUUCUGGCUAGAUUCAACUAAAUUCGUCUAAAAUCUAGCCGGUACAUAGUUAAUCUGGUAACACUGCUCCCGCAUCAUGCCAAUACUCCCGGCUUAUCGCCCCACAAUGUUGCCAGCUUGUGUGUUCAUAGCUCGAGACACCGUUCGUCAUCCGAGACGUUUUUUGUUCGGAAAAAUUAGUUCGUAAACUGAUUUGUUCGUGAUGAGAGGCGUUUGUGAACCAAGAUUCCACUGAUGUCUGUUAACCCGAGAAUGUCAACAGACCCUUUUUAGGGCUUUCAUGAGUUCUGGCUGUGGUACAGUGAACCCUAAAAAGGGCUCGCCAUAAAACACCUAAUUUGAGCUAAUUGUAGGCAGUGGUGGCAUAGUGCAACCCACCAUGAAUGCCCAAGGUCAUUGUGGUGGGUGAGUGAUCUUGAGGUGGGCUUUUUUUGUCAUAGAUGGUGCUGUAAGGUCAUGGCAUACUCAAUUAGCUAUCCAUACAGUACUCACUUGUCAAAUUCUCUAUAGUAGACAACAAGCGACUUGGCUAGAUGCCACGCGUCAUAAGACUGUUUAUUUUGUGGCAAACACCACCCAAAAAGUAUGGAGUUUCAGUAAAAGUAAAUAUUUUUAACGGCUUUAUGGUUAUGAGAGGAGUACUCUGAUGUAUGUUUCAUGCUCUUUGUCUCAAAAUGCAGUGUAAUUUUGUCGUUUCUCGGCCACUUCUCGGCUUUCCCAUUGCCGAAGCCCAAGGGUUAAUGAGCAAUUAUAGCUCUGCAGACUAAGCCAUUGUGAUAAAUGUAAAUAAAAUUAUAUUGUAACAAAUUCUGUAUUAUACUGAGGGCAAUAAAUCACAUCAAAUCUAUCAAAUUAACAAGAAUCUAGUUGGAAACUUAGAAUUCUUCAGCAUCAAUGAAAUAAUAACAAUAAUCAUCAUCAGGUUGAACUACUGACAAAUUUAGAAUACUUGAGGCCUAUGCACCAACGUCAACAUGACAAACUGAUCUCAGGAGAACAUCAGGAAUAAAUCAACAGUUAACUGAUAACUUACACUAAUGUGUAUUGAAUAUUAUCAAAGAAACUGAAACACUUAAGACUACCUUAAAUGAAACAGGAAAAGCAGAAAGUUGCACGUCUCACUGAAUGAGACACUAAAAUAACAGGCUGCUAGUAACACACCCAAAAAUCGCGAAAAUUGAUGAUUUUUUGCAAGUUGAGAUUAUUACUGGAAAAUGAUCACCCAUCAUUCGGCAACACUGUGUGUAAGUUUCAUGGCUCUAUGUCUACUUUAAGUUCACUUUUUUGCUUUUUAUGUAUACCUAUGUCUAAAGCACUAAAAAAACUCACCCAUGGAUGUAUAACAUUCAAAGUUUCCAUAUGUUUUCAUUUAUUUUUUCAUGUAAAUCAACAUUCUAUAUCUGGCAACCCUUGGGGAGAGGUAGAAGCAUGUUGGGAUGAGGCGAGUGUGUGAGUCAGUGGCGUCCCGCCUUCUGUCCCGAGGGGAGGUGGUGGCGCGUGGUCAGCUGACUUUGACAUCUCAAGUUACCAGUGUUGCCAUCAUUUCCUCCACAACUUCUACAUUUACAAGAUGGGUGGAGUAAAGAAGAAGGUUUUGAUGAAGAAGAAAUACCUUGAAAAGGCAAGAAAAGUCUUACAAGAAAAGAGAAGCAUGGCAUCCCAUCAAACAGAGGAAGAAACGGCCACCUCAGCUGCUGGCCCAGCGACAAGUUCUACACCACCCACGCAGGAGCGCACCAGAUCACCUGUCAAGUCUUCAAGCGCACAGAAGAGACAGAAGAUAAUGGCCUUGGGUGCAGAGUAAGAAGCAUGUGAUGAAGAAUAUAUGUUAGCAAAGAAGAGCUGGUGGACAGAACUUGCAAGGAAUGUCAGCUGUCCUCAGUGUUACAAGUGCUUGACAUGCAAAUUUACAACGCAUCAAGUCGAUGACGGUGUAGUGGUGCAGUGUAAGAAGUGUAGUUAUGUGGCUUUGAAUACAAGUAAGGAGAGUAAAAGUGCAAAGAAAGGUAUUUUCGUUGUGACAUCAAUGAUUGUGUAUGCAGUGAUGCUGCUUGGAUGGAGAUAUAGUGGUCAUCAUCAUCAUCAUUUCAUUGACGCCUGCUCCUAGGAGCUCCCACCAGGGGAUGGCCACGGCAGAAGAGCUUCCAACUUUCUCUAUCCAGACACUCCCUCCUUGCCUGCUCAAAGUUUCUCAAAGAUCUUUCCCCCCCCUCUCCUUAACGUACUUUUGCGCCCUAUCCCUCCAUUUCACUGGAGGUCGUCCUCUAGCAUUCCCUCCCUCUAUCUCACUCUCCUCCAUUCGCUCAAUGUGGCCAAACCACUUUAAGGUCUGUCGCUUCACUUCUUCCACCACUCCACACUUCUUCCCUUCACCCCUGUGACACAUUCCAAAAUGCUCAUACACACUUUCAUUACUCAUUCCAUCCAUUCUACUCACACCACAAGCACUCCUCAAAUAACUCAUUUCCACUGCCUGCACUCUAGACCUCUGACUUUCAUUCCAGGCCCACGUUUCACUUGCAUAUGUGAGGGUUGGUACUAUUAUUGUAUUUCUCAAAUCCCUCUUUACUUCCAUGCUCACACUUCUGUCAUUCAUGAUUCGUCCCAAAGACCCUACCACCCUCCUUCCUUGCAAUGCCCUUUCUCUUGUCUCUCCCUCCAUACCACCAUGCUUACACAUAACUGAUCCAAGGUACUUAAACUCAUUGACCUCCUCCAUUUCUUCACCAUUCAAAAUUAUUUUGCAUUCUUUUUCACAUUCAAUUCCCACUCUAUAUGGGCAUACAAAAUCUACAACCUCACUUCUACAUCGCUCACAAACCAUCACUUUACUUUUGUUAACAUUUACUUUCAGCUUUCUCCUAGUGGUUUUGAGAAAUUAUGUGGCAUGUUGAGUCUCCGCCACAUAACGCAAACUGUAUACUUUGGAUACACACAACUUCUGUGUUCCCAGGCAUGCCACAAUGUUUCUAAACUCCUAAAACAAAGUAGAAAAGCAGUUUUUACCCACUACAAGGAUGUGCUAAUGAAAACACCUGACGAUAAUGGAAUUCUGGACGUUUCUGUCUCGUACGAUGGCACAUGGCAUAAAAGAGGGUUUAUGUCGCAGUUUGGUGUUGGAGCGGUGAUUGAAUUGGAAACUGGAUUGAUUGUUGACUUUGAAGUGAUGAGCAAGUAUUGCAGCAAGUGUGCAAUCCAGAAUAACAAGAAGAAGCUAUCUCAAGUCAAGAACAUGAUGCAUGGAAGAAGAAACAUUCACCUGACUGCCACAUCAACCACGAAGGGUCUUCAGGUUUGAUGGAGGUUGUGGCUGCAACUCGUCUUUUUGAGAGAUCACUAUCUUACAAUAUGAGAUACAUGAGUCUUGCAUCUGAUGGUGACAGUGCCACUUACAAAGCCAUCACUGACCUAAAUGAGGGGGCAGGUCCUUACAGUGAGAAGCAUCAAGUAAAGAAAGAGGAAUGCGUGAACCACGUUGCUAAGAGACUUGGCACUUCUCUAAGAAAACUGAAGGAAACUACUGUUGUGCAAGAGGAGGGAAAGAAGAGAAGGAAACUGAGUUUGGGAGGACGAUCAAAGCUCACCAACACUAUCAUCACCAGACUAUCGUAUUAUUUUGGCAUCAAUGUGAGAUGUCAGGCGAAUACCAAUCCUGCACAGAUGCGUGAUGAUAUAUUGUCUUCUCUAUAUCAUUGCACAUCUACAGAAGAAGAGCCAAAACAUCAUCUCUGCCCAAAAUCAGAAGACUCAUGGUGCUUCUAUCAAAAGGCAAAGGCAAAAGGACAGUCACCACCAAGUCACUCAACCAUGAAAAUUCAUUUCACGCUUGAACCUCAUCUGUUUGAGCUAAUGAAGGGAGUGUAUGACAGGCUCACAACCAAUGAAAUGAUGAUGAGAUGCAUCAGAGGCAAAACCCAAAAUCCCAACGAAUCCCUUCAUCAGAGAAUUUGGAUGCUGUGCCCAAAGAGUAAACGUGCAACCAAACCUAUGGUGGACUUUGCUGUGGCACAGGCAGUAUCAAAUUACAAUGCCGGGUAUGUGGAAAGCAAUGUAUACACAGAGACCUUGGGAUACCUCUAACAGAAGGGACUAUGAAGUACCUGCAAAGAGCUGAUAACCAAAUGAAGAAACCAAUCAAAAGGAAGAUUCGCAACAAACGUCACUGAGUGCGCGCCGCUGAAUGUCGUCAAACUUCAGACACCGUUUUCUCAAAACACAGAUAACUGGCAGUAAAUCUUCAGAAUGACCUCUUUUAACAGUACAUACUUGCAAUCUUUCAAUAAAGUAAAAUCACUUGGCUACAAUGCAUAUUAAUGGUUUACCUCCAAUUUUGCAGAGGUAACCCCUUAACCCCUUCAUUACCAACACUCCCCCUCAUCACUGCACUAACCCCUUCCCGCCGAACCGACUUUCACUACCCGCCCCAUUUGAAAAUAAGGGGGUUUAUAAUUCAUGAUUACAUCAUUACUUUUCGGUAUAUAUUACGGUUUUGUAUUUCACAAAAUGCAUAUUGGCCAGAAGAUGAGACUGAUAUGAAAUAACAACAUUUGAAGCCAUUUUGUUUACAUAAUCAAAUACUUUAUUUAAUGUUCAUUAUACGUGUAAAGGUAAUAGUAAGAAAAGAAACCUAAACAUUUUACAAUAAAAAAAAAGUUUUAUUUAUUUGUGCGGUGUAAAUCCAUGGGAGGUACAUUCUGAGGCAGGUGCACCAGUGCACACUAGGGUACUACUGGGUGUGCUAGGCCUGGAAGUGUUCCUCAAAACACAAACCAGGUGCACCAGGGCAUGAGGGUAAAUAUUUCCUCGACCACUUCACUUUGCCCUCGCUGUGACUUACUGCACCGUUUUUGCAGUCUCUUCCUGGUCUCAGUAGCAAGUACUGAUACCAGUCUGUGCACAUCAUCCUGCCAAGCUUUCUUCCUGCAUACCUCUAUACUUGCUGUCUUCCUGGGUGGCAGCACUGACAUUCAAGGACACAUGGCUAAAGUGCCAGCAGCAAUAAUUUUCUACAAAUUAUAUUUUAUAUGAUAUAGAUGAAAGCAUGUAUAUAGAAAAAUAAUAUACGAGUUAUAAUAGCCAUAUGAAACGAAUAUAAGUAUUUAGAAUAUAUUCAUGCCUUCGUACAGUGAAUUAAGGGUGGCACGACGCCACUGCACGGAUAACAUAAGCUACAAUAUGAGUGCUCACCAAUACAUACUGAACCAACUUUCAGAAAGGCUCCAUACACCCUAUUAUAAUCAUGUACGCAUUUACAAUAUCGGUUCCACAGCAGACAUUGUCAUGUUGUAUGCAAGUACAACAUUUCAGAUCCGGCAACAAAGGGGUUAAAUCAUGCUUGUUAUUCUACUAUUCUUAAAGUAAACAGUGCAUGCACCAUGGAAAGUUAAUAUUUAGCAAAGGAGAGUGAACUCAGUAAGGGUAAGCCAAUAACCUUCAAGGCAAAAGCUUGAAAUGUUGAUGUGUUUCAAGUGGGGUGACAAAAGGCAUCAUAAAUAAAUAUUUAAGCCAGCUUUGUGGGAGCACAUUAUGCCCCAUACAUGAUAAUGCUGACAGAUAAAAAGGUUUGCCUUUGUAAUAGUUUAUUUCUGUUUCAUUAACUUUUAAAUUUGCUGCUACUGGCAGCAAAGUGUGCGUGCCACAUGUCAUGGUGAAAUAGCAGCACCGUGUCACUAAAACAGUGGAGACUAAUCUAUGUUAACCCUUUCCAUCCAUGACGCAGACGUCGGCGUCACAGUAUGGAAAGGGUCAAGAGGAAAUGGAAGAGGAUUAAUCCUCUUCUAAACCUCUCAACCCUCCUCUAAAUUCCUCUUAAUCCUUUUCCAUUUCCUUUUAACCCUUUCUAAACAGCGACGCCGAUGUCGGCGUCCUGAAGUGCCCAGUGCAAUAUACGGCGACGGCGACGGCGGCGUCCUGAAGCGCCCAGUGCAAUAUACGGCGACGGCGACAUCGGCGUCCUAACAGUGACACCUAUGUUGGCGCCGCGUCUUUAUUACAUUUAGUUUUAGUUGGUGCUGAGUGAUCCCGUAUUCUGUUCUGACUCUACCUAGAGACUCUGUAUAUGAUACAGGUAACUCUCGAUUUACGCGAGUAUUGUGUCCUGGAAGGUCACGUAAAUCAAAAACAUUGAAAAUCAAACAAGAGGAAGGUAUCUAUCAAAAAAUAAAUAUUCACUUCAUUCAGUGGAGAGAGAGAGAGAGAGAGAGAGAGAGAGAGAGAGAGAGAGAGAGAGAGAGAGAGAGAGAGA